rnacentral:tRNA from 1 species
AAAAUAUUAGCUUAAAGAUGAAAGUGAUGAAUUUUUAAUUCAUUGAUGUAAAAACAUAUUUUA